rnacentral:lncRNA from 1 species
CCCUCCUGUGUGUGGCUGGAAAACUUUUUUUUGAUAGAUUUUUUAUGAAUAAAAAAGAUUCUACUAAAAAAAAAUCAAUAACUGUACAUAAGUGGGCAUAUUGUUUGAGUCUGUAUUCUUUCACUUUGAUAUAUUUAUGAAUACUUACACCAUUACUACUGUUUUAAAAUUACUGUAGCUUUAAAAUCAGGUUUGAAAUCUAGCAGAGUAAGUCCUCCAACUUAUUGCUUCUUCAAUAUCGACUUGCUUAUUCUAGGUUCUUUGAUUUUCAAAUACAUUUUGAAACUAGCUUUCAAAUUUCUCUAAAAUCUCCUACUAGAAAUA